rnacentral:rRNA from 1 species
AUCAUGGAGAGUUUGAUCCUGGCUCAGGAUGAACGCUGGCGGUCUGCUUAACACAUGCAAGUCGAACGGGCUCUUCGGAGCUAGUGGCGGACGGGUGAGUAACGCGUGAGAAUCUGCCUUCAGGUCUGGGACAACAGAAGGAAACUUCUGCUAAUCCCGGAUGAGCCCUUGGGUAAAAGAUUAAUUGCCUGGAGAUGAGCUCGCGUCUGAUUAGCUAGUUGGUGUGGUANUAGUGGCGGACGGGUGAGUAACGCGUGAGAAUCUGCCUUCAGGUCUGGGACAACAGAAGGAAACUUCUGCUAAUCCCGGAUGAG